CCUACGGGAGGCAGCAGUGAGGAAUAUUGGUCAAUGGACGAGAGUCUGAACCAGCCAAGUAGCGUGAAGGAUGACGGCCCUAUGGGUUGUAAACUGCUUUUGUAUGAGAGUAAAAUGUUAUACGCGUGUGAUUUUGUAUGUACCGUAUGAAUAAGGAUCGGCUAACUCCGUGCCAGCAGCCGCGGUAAUACGGAGGAUCCGAGCGUUAUCCGGAUUUAUUGGGUUUAAAGGGAGCGUAGGUGGUCUGUUAAGUCAGUUGUGAAAUCCUGAGGCUCAACCGCAGAAUUGCCGCUGAUACUGGUAGUCUAGAGAAUAGUAGAGGUGGGCGGAAUUCGUGGUGUAGCGGUGAAAUGCUUAGAUAUCAUGCAGAACUCCGAUUGCGAAGGCAGCUCACUGGACUGCAACUGACGCUGAGGCUCGAAAGCGUGGGUAUCAAACAGGAUUAGAUACCCUUGUAGUC
rnacentral:rRNA from 1 species